AGAACAGUUGGGAGAAGAAGAUGAGCUAAGACGACAGAUGGAGGAAUGCAGAUGUGUAUGUCUUGGAGAGGAAAGCGCUCGGAGGAUUUGGCAUCCGGUGAAGCACGAGGUCAGCUUCUGCGGUUGUGUCCCUGGGCUUGAGAAAUGUUCAAGAAAUCACUAAAGUACAGUGAUUUUUUUUUCUCAGAUGACAAGCAAGUUUCAUUAUUUUCUCUUGUCUAUACAAUCGUAACAAGGUCACCUGAAGAACUGGAUGGCCUCUACACAUACCUCAGGUCUAGUACACACAAAAAAUAAAAAUGUGGAGAAAAAAUUUGAGUAGCCUUGUAGGAAAGCAAAAUAAAGCAAAGAAAUAAUAACAAGGCUUCUGUGGAGAGAAAUUUUCUUUGGUCACAUGGCCACAAAGAUAACUUUUUUUAAUUCUAUGCUUACUCUGAUUUCCUUCAAACAGAUUUUUCUGAACAUCCUAAUUUGGUGUUUGCAUAAUUCAACAUCUAUUAUUGUUUUAGGACCAUAGUUAUUAUUUUAAUUAUAAUUUAAAGCUGCCUAAUAUACCCAGAGGUCACUGGGCACCUAAAAGAAAUAAAUAAAAACAACUUGCCAUUUUUAAAAGCAGCAUGUUUAUUUGGAAGUCCCAUGAGCCACUCAACUAAGACAUCAUAAAACCUUCAAAUAAACUAAAAUGGAAACUAAAUAAAAUGUCCAGUUUUAAUCUCCUUAGAAGGCAUGCAGGAGACGGUUGCAGCUAGCAGAGUGCUGGCGUGAGAACUCUCAGCAUGGCGUUUGGGAACCCCAGUGUGUGUCUUGAUGCGCACAUCCCAUAUCGCAAUCAGCAGCAUCCUAAUCUCAGGUGAAUCAUCCUUGAGUCUUGAUGUGAAGUUUUAGCCAACAGGAAGUCAAUCUAGCGAUGAAUUUGGUACAGCAAAAGUAAAGGGAGAGUUCCUGCCGUGGCUCAGCAGAAAUGAAUCUGACUAAUAUCCAUGAGGACACAGGUUCCAUCCCUGACCUCUCUCAGUGGGUGAAGGACCCAGUGUUGCCAUGAGCUGGUCUAGGUCGCAGACAUGGCUUGGAUCUGGUAUUGCUGUGGCUGUGGCCAGCAGCUACAACUCCGAUUCAACCUCUAGCCUGGGAACCUCCAUAUGGCACAGUUGCAGCUCUAAAAAGACAAAAAACAGGAAAAAGAAAAGGGCAUGCCAGGGGCUUGGUAAUGCCUACCCCCUGACUGUUCUAUCCAGGUGGCAUUUGAUGGCUUUCUCCAAUGUAGGUGUCAGUAAAGCAGAUUCAGGUCUCAUUAACUCUGAUGUUUUAAAUGUGGAAUUGCUGAAAUAUCAAAGUCUAGUGAUUUUACAUUUGGAAAGUGUGAGAAAUUUCAAAACAGUUACAUGAUGUUCCUACAUGUGAGUUUCCAUAACAGAAAACAGUAAAAUCAUUUUCAAACCAUUGACUGCUAGUAUUCUGCAUGUAAUCAGAGCUGUUAUGGUUUGUUAAGCAACAGAAUUAUCUACUGGGCAGAAGGUUUAUGCUGCUGUAAGACCUUCUAGCUACACAAGUGUGCAAAUCAGUAAAUAUGAUAGAAUCCAUCGAAUAAGCAUUGUCAGGAUUUCCAGAGGAAGGCAUCCAGUCCCUCCACCCCCAGAAUGGCCUGAAGUAGCUUAGGUGACUCUCUUUGGGAUCCAAAGAGCUGUCAAAUUUGGAUUGCUUAAAGUUCCAAGAACAAGGAAGAGAAUGGGCUCCCAGAAAUCUCUUUCCUUACCAUGGAAGAAGAAAGAACGAAAAGAAAAGGCAAUGUAAGGCAAAAAGAGAAGAGAAGAAAAAGAAGUUGAUCCUCAGAGUGCAACCUCCAAUAGCUUCACGGACUAAGCAAAGAAUUCAAUACUAUGGGAAUAGUGUAAGACAAUAGGGAGAGGUGGGGAGUAUGGAAAACACACACAGCCUAUAGAGCAACUGCUGCUCAACUCCAGACAAUGACUCCCAGGCGCAGUGUAACCAGAAUCUUCAGGUUUUCAAGAGAAUCUGGAAAUAACUUUUUUUAAAAAACUUGAACUAUCUCUAACUUUGAAUGUUGGCAAUCAAUUUGCUAUAAACACCCACACAACAUAAGAACCAAAUAAAAAAUCAGCAUGCCACAUUCAGCCUGUGGGCUGUAAGUUUGUAAACUGUCUGAGACAGAAGUAAGCAGAUGGGAACUGAAAAGAGGCACAGAUUCUGAAGCAUGAAACAUAAUUUAUAUUAAGGAUUCUUUCAUUCACUGUUUCAGAUAAGGGAGAGUCUUAUCAAGUCUUCCUGCUAAUUCCCAUCUGUAAAGGAAAAUAUACACUUUUUCUCUCUCAUGCUAUCCAAUGCCCUCAAACCUAAAACAACUCUUAAUAUCCUUUCUUUUUGAUUAUCUUGUAAGUAUUAGGCAGGCAAACAAGUUCUGAAUGGACUGAGCUAGGAAAAUGCUUCAGACCUCUUAGCAUUCUGAGAUGAGGAUGGGUGGAUACAUAGAAAUUAUUUGUAGAAGGCACAGAGUUAUUUUGCAUCUAUUUGCAAUAUUUCUUGGGUGAAUUAUAAAUUUUACCCAUUAUUUAAGGAUGUUAUCCUUACAACAGUUCUGGCAUUUCAGCUUAAAAAUAUUGAUAUUCAGCUGGUGUCUCAGUCAGUUUUUACUAAGUAAAGCUGCAGUAACAAACAACCUCCAAGUCUUAGUGAUUUAUGACAAAGAUACAUUUUCAUAUACAAAAUUGCAUGAAAGUAUCUGCUACAUUUCAACUAAAUUGCAUGGUGUAUUUUUGCUCCAUUUCAUCUUUAUUCUGAGUCCUGUUCCAAAGGAGCAGCUUCUCCCUGGCUUCAAAACAAUGUCCUGCUAGAAAAAGAAGAGAAAAGAAAGUACAUAAUGGCUUUUAAAGCCUCUGCUCAAAAGUAGCAUAUAUCACUUCCUCUCGUAUUUUACUGGUGGCCAUAACAAGUCACAUGACUAAGCCUGAUGUUGAAGCCAGAAAAGUCUUACCCUCUCUCAGGGAAUGGCAAUAUUUAGGGACAAUGAAACAAUCUCCCACAGAAGGUACUGCUCAGGGACUUUGAAAGGGAAAAAUAAGGGGACGCUCCCCAGCAUCUUCUUUUGGAGAAACAAACCUAGCCCUCACGCUCCUUUCAGACCUUGGUAAGGACCAUUCAGGUCAUUUGAGCCGUAAGUGAUUAAAAGAUGGUACCUAGAGUCAGACUUCCUGAGUUUAUAUGUUGACACUUGACUGUAUUUCUCAAUCCUCUUGUAUAUUAUUUUUUUUAAGAGAUACAAACAUUAAACACGCCUGCCUCAUUAGGCUGUUGGGAGGAUUCAGGGAGUGAAGAAAUGUACUUAUAGAGAGAGAGAGAAUACUUAGAACAGUGUUUUGCUCAUAAUAAGUAUUGGUUAUUACUACAGUGAUGAUGACUAGAAAACCGUUAGCUCAAAUGCAUCUCAGCCUCCUUUUCACCCCUCCAUUAUAGCUAGAUUAGUCCAGGUUUUUUUUACUUUAAGGAUGCCAUAUUAAAAUGCACAUACUUCUUGAAGGUAUAAACCCUUACAUUCUUAUCAACUAUUACCUUUGGGGAACACUUUGAAGGUAGAUUCCAGGAGAAUGGGUAUAGGACAGGGUCCUGGAGACACUGAGAUGGAGAAAAUAGAAACUGGAGAACAAGAACCUCCAAAAUAAACUUGUCACACCUGAUGGUUUUACCAAAACCAACUUAGACCAGACCAGUGAUUCUCAUCCUUGCAUGGCUACACAUUAGAAUUGAGAGGAUAUUCAGACCAUACCCUGGACCAAUGACAUCAGAAUCUCUGGAUGAGAUGCAGAGAUUAAACUCCCAGGUUCUUUUUAUGUAAAACCAAGAUUUAUUAGCCCAGAAGCAGUCCACCUUCCACUCAAAGUGUCUGAUUGCCUCCUUCUUGGUCCAACCUUUGCUCCACCCUGGAUCUGCAUUAACCCCCGUUUCUCCAGCACAGUCCAGAUGAAGUGACUAGAAGAGGGACAUUUGCUAACAAAGAAGAGGGAGAGAUAUGGCCCAAGUCAAGCAUUUGUCUUUCCUCUCUUCCUGAUUGAUCACUUUAUACAAUAAUAAAACUUUUAAAAGGUUGAACCUGAACUGAGGCUGUGACUGUGACACAAUUAAUCAAACUCUUGAAGAAUCAUGUUACAUUAUGUGCUUCAAGCAUUGAUCCACUUCACUAAAAGUUGGCCUGAAAUACAACCUAGACACAAGAUAUUGGAUCCAUAAGAAAUGGCCAGAAUGCUGUCGGAUGCUUUGUGCCUCCAGACAGUAUCUGGAUGCACAGCUGACCAGACUUUGAAGCAAGAUAAAUUCUAACAUAUCAAAGAGGAUGCCACUGGUCCCACCAUGCUCCACAUUGCUGGGAGUGGAAGUACAGAGAAGAGAGGACUGAUGAGGGUGUGUUCCUCAAACCUGCUAUCAUUGCACCUAAAUGAUCAUGAUUCUGUGCAGCAACAAGACUCCAAGGCUCCUCACCUGUUCUUGCAUUUAUCACAGAUGAUACCAGCAUCCCUGCUACCAUAAACUCUUCCCCAUGGUAUAUUUUGGGGGUCUUCUCUAAAUCCAAGUUUUAUAGGCCCAAAUGCACCCCCUUUUAACUCACCAGGAAGCAUCAGAUCGAUAACACUCUCUAACAUCUAUAGGCAGUGCCUUGCAGUUAACCAAACCCUUAAAAGUCCCCAGACUCACUUGAGCUUCACACCAGCCCCAGGAGGGAGGAAGGUGAGCCAGGACCCAGGACCCGCAUUUUACAAAGGAAGAAACUUGGUGGGGAAGUGAAGUGAGUUGCUGGGGUCGUGGGGCUCGUAGAAAUGGAACACCUGGGUUUAAGACUUAUAUCCUGUGGCUUCCAGCCCCUUCCAGGAAAUGUGGAAGACUACAAAGGAAAUCAGGUCUUGCACUGACCCACUUCGCCAGCCUUCCCCUUCUCCUCCAGGCAUCCCUCCCACUCUGUGCUGUCCCAUAGCUUCACCCUCGCUUUGAUUAGCAUCUCCAGAAGUCUCUCUCUGCUCCCUCCCCUGGAAACUGCCCUGAACUUAGCUGGACCAGUGAAAAGACAGAUGUGCCCUCAAAGCCCGGUUCACCCUUGAAACCUAACUGUGUGACUUUGGGCAAGUUAUGCUAUGCUUUUGUGUUGCCUUCUCUGUAGAAUGGACAAUUACAGGCACCUACUUCUUAGGCCUGUCUGAAGGAUUGGCUGAGUCAUGGACGUGAGGCACUCUAACCAUAUCUAGCAUUUACUGGGCCCUCAAAAAGGGCAGUUGUUUUAAAGCUAUUUAUAUUGAGUGAUUAAUUUUAUAUAAUAGAGCUAAUAGCUAGCAUUUUUCAAGGCCUACUAUGUAAUGACACGUGUUGCAUUGUUCUUCGUACUUUUCAUGUAAUUCUUUCAUUGAUUUCUCAUGACAACGCUAUGAAGCAGGUAGUAUUAUUACCCCACCUUACCGCUGAAGAAACUGAGACACAAAGAGGUUAAAUAGAGCCAGCAAGGGCUAGACCCCAGAUUUGAUCUAAGCAGUAUAACUCCAAAACCAGCACUCUUCCUUCAGACACAAUCUCCUGUUGGAGAGAAUGCAUAACAAAUCUUUAACAUUGCUUCUUGCCAUUUGCACCUUUAAAUAACAAUAUCUUUGAGUAAAAUAAAUAGCUUACACAUAUAGUACUUAAAUGGAAAGGAGUGAAUUUAUGAUGGUGAAAUAUCAGCUAUUAUUGCAAAGAGGACAGACAAUGAGUAGGAAUGAGGACUUUCCAGGUGCUGCUAAAAUUAUACCAUGAAUAUACUUUUUAAAUUGAAGGAAGGAAUCAUAAGAACAUGUUAACAAUGAUAGUUUUUGUAGAGCAGGACUGAGUUUGGGUGAGGAUAACAGGGGUUUUUUGUUCAUUUUGUUCUUUUCUGCAUUAUUUGAGUUUUCAAACCUAGCUCCACACACUGUUUUGUUUUAUACCAACAGGAUUUAUUGGAACAAUAAAAGUAUUGCUUUAUUUUGUUAUUUGUUCUUUUCUUCUUUGUAUACUCCACAUUAAAAAAUAUAAUAAUGGGAGUUCCUAUUGUAGCUCAGUGGUAAUGAACCUGACUAUGAUACAUGAGGACACAGGUUCAAUCCCAGGCCCUGCUCAGUGAGUUAAGGAUCUGGCAUUGCCAUGAGCUGUAGCAUAAGUCACAGAUGCGGCUAGGAUCCCAAGCUGCUGUGGCUGUGGUGUAGACCAACAGCUGCAGCUCCAAUUCAACUCCUAGCCUGGGAACUUCCACAUGCUGCAUGUGUAGUCCUAAAAACUAGAACAAAAUAUAAAAUAAAAUUAAAAAUAAUGAAUGUAAAUGAAAAGACAAGCAACAGGAGAAAACAAUUGCAAAUCAUGUGACUGACAAGGUAUUAAUCUCAAUACUCAAUAUAUAUACAGCUCACACAGCUCAAUUUAAAAAAAAAAAAAAAAAAA
rnacentral:lncRNA from 1 species